UUCCAGACUCCUACGGGAGGCAGCAGUGGGGGAUAUUGCACAGUGGGGGGAACCCUGAUGCAGCGACGCCGCGUGGGUGAAGAAGCGCCUCGGCGCGUAAAGCCCUGUCAGCAGGGAAGAAAAUGACGGUACCUGAAGAAGAAGCCCCGGCUAACUACGUGCCAGCAGCCGCGGUAAUACGUAGGGGGCAAGCGUUAUCCGGAAUUACUGGGUGUAAAGGGAGCGCAGACGGCAGUGCAAGUCUGGAGUGAAAGCCCGUGGCUUAACUACGGGACUGCUCUGGAAACUGUGCAGCUAGAGUGCAGGAGAGGCAGGCGGAAUUCCUAGUGUAGCGGUGAAAUGCGUAGAUAUUAGGAGGAACACCGGUGGCGAAGGCGGCCUGCUGGACUGUGACUGACGUUGAGGCUCGAAAGCGUGGGGAGCAAACAGGAUUAGAUACCCCUGUA
rnacentral:rRNA from 1 species